CUGGCUCAGGAUGAACGCUAGCUACAGGCUUAACACAUGCAAGUCGAGGGGCAGCAUGAUCAAAGCUUGCUUGAUUGAUGGCGACCGGCGCACGGGUGAGUAACGCGUAUCCAACCUUCCCUAUAGUAGUGGAUAGCCCGGCGAAAGUCGGAUUAAUACACUAUGUUGUAUUUAGAGGACAUCUGAAGAAUACCAAAGGCUUGCCGCUAUAGGAUGGGGAUGCGUCUGAUUAGAUAGUAGGCGGGGUAACGGCCCACCUAGUCGACGAUCAGUAGGGGUUCUGAGAGGAAGGUCCCCCACAUUGGAACUGAGACACGGUCCAAACUCCUACGGGAGGCAGCAGUGAGGAAUAUUGGUCAAUGGACGGGAGUCUGAACCAGCCAAGUAGCGUGCAGGAUGACGGCCCUAUGGGUUGUAAACUGCUUUUAUACGGGGAUAAAGUGAGCCACGUGUGGCUUUUUGUAGGUACCGUAUGAAUAAGGACCGGCUAAUUCCGUGCCAGCAGCGGC
rnacentral:rRNA from 1 species